rnacentral:misc_RNA from 1 species
UCAAUGAGUUGUGGCUCAAGCUCAUCACGAACUGUGCCUACAACGCGCUGUCGGCGGGCGCACAAAUGCCCUAUGGGCGGCUUUUCAAAGUCGACGGCGUCACGGAGGUGGUCAGGGCCGUCGUACGCGAAUGCACUGAAGUGGCAUCGGCGCUGGACAUUGCCGUACCGGAGAACAUCGACGAAACUGUGCUGGCCUUGGCGGGAUCGAU